rnacentral:rRNA from 1 species
UACAAUGGGGGGUACAGAGGGCCGCUACCACGCGAGUGGAUGCCAAUCCCCAAAACCUCUCUCAGUUCGGACUGGAGUCUGCAACCCGACUCCACGAAGCUGGAUUCGCUAGUAAUCGCGCAUCAGCCACGGCGCGGUGAAUACGUUCCCGGGCCUUGUACACACCGCCCGUCAAGCCAUGGGAGCCGGGGGUACCUGAAGUGCGUAACCGCGAGGAGCGCCCUAGGGUAAAACUGGUGACUGGGGCUAAGUCGUAACAAGGUACC